rnacentral:misc_RNA from 1 species
GAUGAAGAACGCAGCGAAAUGCGAUAAGUAAUGUGAAUUGCAGAAUUCAGUGAAUCAUCGAAUCUUUGAACGCACAUUGCGCCCGCCAGUAUUCUGGCGGGCAUGCCUGUUCGAGCGUCAUUUCAACCAUCAAGCCCCCGGGCUUGUGUUGGGGACCUGCGGCUGCCGCAGGCCCUGAAAAGCAGUGGCGGGCUCGCUGUCACACCGAGCGUAGUAGAUUUUAUCUCGCUCAGGGCGUGCUGCGGGUUCCGGCCGUUAAACCACCUUCAUAACCCAAGGUUGACCUCGGAUCAGGUAGGAAGACCCGCUGAACUUAAGCAUAUCAAUAAGCGGAGGA